rnacentral:lncRNA from 1 species
GACAAGCAUUUCAAAGGAUUUUCUCAUGAUUUUUUAUAAUACUUUAUUUGGUGGUUUUAUUAUUGACUCUUCAAUACGAGGUUUUAACUUAAUAGUAUAUAAUAAUUUUGAGUGUAUACUGUGAAGAAAAAAUAAAUUUAAAGUUGUAAUGAAUAUGAAAAAGUUAUUUUUGAGUUUCUUCACACUACAACUCUAAUUUUUUUGGUUUAUCAUAAGUUUAGCUAGUGGUGCGUUGGUAACAUGCGUUUUUAUCGUUUUAAUUGACUCAAUUUUUAUUUAUUUUAGUGUCUUUUGAGUUACGUUUUCUUCGGUUAGUUUGCUUUUUACUUUGCAUUUCAGGUACAAAUGAUUGCCACCUUUAUAGAAGGAAGUGAAGAAAAACGAAGAAAAUCAAUAAAAAGUGAUUGUUGACAGAGGUCAUAACGACUGUCAUGCUCCUUACUGAGCUAAUCGUCAUGGCCUCAAAGGAUAAGAAAUAAUGCAUGGUUGAAUUCCAUGACGGGAAGACCGUCAGUCAACUAGGAUAACAUCCAUCAUGGGUCCUUGACUCAUAAGCACCACAUUCAGCACCGUCAUGCACCAUGACGUCCAACAAAUCCACAUUGUAGAUGUUCCUCCACGUUUCAAGGUUGUUUUACACGAUUUGUGGAUUUGUUUUACACGAUUUCUAAGUACGAGAAUGCCUACAAAUACCAUUGUAACUCAUGUAAUUGCCAUAUAAACAUACUAGCACUAAAUUUACUUUAAUUUUCUACAUAAAAAUUAUGCAUUGAAAUUUUUAUGCAAGUAAGUUUCUUUAAGUUUUCUGCACUUUUGGACUUAAUUUUCCACUGUUGUUUUUAUAUUAUUCACUGCUAUAUUUGGAUCAAAGUCUCCCUUCGGAGCAUUUUAAUUAUCAAGAUUCAGUUUCAUUUAAUUCCAAGUUCUUUAUUUUUUACUGCA